AGCUUUUCUUUUUUCCUCUUAUCUCGUUUCUUCUUAUCCUUCGGUCUUCACAAAGCUAAUAAGAACCCUAACUUACCAGAAAUUAGAUCUAUUACCACAAAUCUGUCGUUGACCAGAGCAGAAAGCACUUCGAGCCUACUAGAAAAUCAUAUCUAUUUUUCCUUGUUAGAAAAACCUUAAAUUACCAGAAAUCAAUCCUAAGAAAUCAGUACCUUUUAAAUCACCAGAAAUCAAUCCUAAGAAAUCAGUGCCCUGACUUUGCGUAACCUAAUCUCAGAAUUUGCAGAAGAAGAUUCAAGAACAAACCCAGACGAUUCAGGUACAAAACCUAGAAGAUUCAAGUACACUGAUGAGAUUCAAGUAUAAAUCCUAACUCUGUUAAUUUCUUGUUUUUGGUUUUCCAUCUUGAUUUGAGGUUAUUCUGCUGUGAAUAUACGGUAUGUUUUUCUGUAGAUCUUGCAGUCUGUGUGUUGGAUUAGUUGAUUUCAUAGAGUUUUAUAACAUGGGUAUUUUAGGACUUCAGUCUUACAAAGUCUUUUAAUUUUGAUUAUGUCUCUUUCAGUGUUUGAGUAUUUUAUUUUGUUGUUAGCUUUUGUAUCAACUGAAAAAUGGUUGUAUGGUGUCUUUGAAGAUUUUGAGUCUGGUUUUGUUGUUUAUGAGCUGAGAAAGGGAUUGGUAUCAAGUUUCAACUGAAUACUAGUUUACUUCCCGAGGACUUGCUUAGGUUUCAGGUUCAGCUAUUUUUAUGACUUAUGUCCAUUGACAAGUUUUUCUUUAAAUUUUGUUGGAUGUUAUCUUGGUGGACAACUUUUUUUCUCUCGUGAUGUUUGUGCAUUCCCUAUCUGUAGACCUUGUUAUGAAUGCGAUAGGAAAGACGGGAACCAGUCUUGUCCUCGUGUGUUCUUGCGAAUUCCUAGAUUAUUCACGUAUCAAGUUAUGCAAAACCAUGGAGAGAUCUUGUCUUGGUACAGGAACACUUGGCACAGAUUUAUCUCUUUCUAUCACUGGUUCAGUGAAAGAAUUGGGACAUUAUCAGGUUUUUCUACUGCGCCUUUUAUUGGGGGAUUCUCGGUACUGGAAAUGGGCAUGGUACUUUUUUUUGACAGAAGAAGCCAUGAUAAAUAUGUACAUACAUAACAAGCUAAUAUUUUUACCAUUUUGCUGUUAUCUAAUUUUUAUGGUGAUGCCUUGUGUUUCAAAAUCUCUGGUGACCGAAAUGUAUAUGUGCUUUGGACAAAUCACACUAUUACACUCUUUGUUCCUUUUAAUUGCUGAAUCUGAUAGGUAAUCUUUAAGUUCCGAUAUUAAAAAAGUUCAUGUAUUGCUCUCUCUGUACAGGAUCUUCUGCCGUUGAAUUUGACGCCAGUAUCCCACAUGAGUAUCAUCACGGUUGUGGGGAACACAGACGUUGACAUCUAUUUGCAAAAGAGGAACUUAUUAAGUAUGACCCCUGUUAUAGCAUGAGUAUGGGAUGGGUAGGCAGGCGAAAUAUGAGGUCAAAGCGUUAAGAGCGGAAAGUUUCAAAGACGAAAUCAUCACCACACUCCCAGCUACUUGUAUGAUUAGUUUCCUUGAAAUGAAAGAGGUUCAGGUGUCAUCAGUCCGUACAAAUGGACCCUACAUGGCUACAUAUUGAAUCUUGAUUCUCAUCACUACAUAAACAACAUAAACAACGUCAAGGUGUUGUGAGUGGAUAUGUUUUUAAUGCCUUUAGUUUCUUCAAACAGUGGACAAGUGGUAUACACGAGGUUGAAAGUCAUAAUCAUGUUCUUGACCAAAUGGCUUGGAGUAUCAAUACCAGAAGAGGUUCUCGAUCCUGUAUAUGAAAAGAUCCAACAACAAAGAUAAAAUUGAAGUAUUAUGGAGCAAAGAAGAUAAACCACUUCCUCCACUCCACCCUCUUCUAAUAAAGGGGUCCACCUUCAUCCUUGAAUCUCCUUCUCAUUUUACAGAGUGCAGGCUUUUGUGCUGCAUCUGAUGCUACCUGGGUCUUGAUUCUUCUAGUUUACUGAAGGCAGUUUCUUUGUUCUUACUUGGAUCAAAUAGAAGUUUCUAGAAUAAUGCACCGGUCGUUGCUAUUUGUGCCCUAUUACUGUAUCUUGGAUGGUACCAGAUUGAAAGAAGCAUGAUGAAAACCUUUUCUCCCUGGUAAUGUCAAAGCUUUGUAGGUAGUGACAAAUGAUACUCUACAUGGUUCUGAAUUUGCUAUACUCUACAUGAUACCAGUAAACUGCUAGUGAUAUAUUAUCUUGGUGUUUUGGUGCUGAAGCCUGCAGGUUGUAGCUUACCUUGGAACUAAGUGUUGGUCGCUCCAAAGGGAAGAUAAAUUUGCAGCAUCCGUGCUCGUAAAGUGAUAAGAAGAUCGAUGAGUUAUUCCGCUAAAAGGUGUAUGUGUGCAAGGAAAAUGUUCAAGUUUGAAGGAGUUUAAAAUUGUAUAAGAGUGCUAUAAUGUUUCAUAGUGCUUGAAUUCAGUUUGUGUUUUGAGAUACUGAUUUCAUUUGUUGGAGGCAUAAAGUUAUUGAUUCGGGACGUAUGCAGCUUCAUGAAUAUAUAAUAAUAAAAUUUCUGAAA